CCCUUAGAUGUUCUGGGCUGCACGCGCGCUACACUGAUGCACUCAACGAGUUUACGACCUUGCCCGAUAGGGUUGGGUAAUCUUUUUAAAAUGCAUCGUGAUGGGGAUAGAUUAUUGCAAUUAUUAAUCUUCAACGAGGAAUUCCUAGUAAACGCGAGUCAUCAGCUCGUGCUGAUUACGUCCUGCCCUUUGUACACACCGCCCGUCGCUCCUACCGAUUGAGUGCUCAGGUGAAUAAUUCGGACUGCAGCAAUGUUUGGAUCCCGAACGUUGCAGCGGAAAGUUUAGUGAACCUUAUCACUUAGAGGAAGGAGAAGUCGUAACA
rnacentral:rRNA from 1 species